rnacentral:rRNA from 1 species
AUGUUGCAGACAAUGUUCACGAGAAGCCUCACGUGCCAGCCGGUUGCACAGUCAACCAAAAUCAUCAGGUGCCAUUUGCUCUAUCUAUUUGAACAACAUGCAUUACUUAUAAGAGUAGAUCAAAAGCUACUGCCAUUUCUUCAUCACAUGAAUACAAAGAAAAGGAAAGAGACAAAAGAAAAGAGGAGAAAACUUGCUACGUGCAUGGAUUAUGCGGCCAGAGUGCUAAUCACAUGCAUAUAUUAUUCACUUUCCAUGCACUUCCAGUACCUCACACACGGUUCAAUCUACAAAUUGAUAUUAUGCUGCAUUGCGUGGUUUCCUAGAUAA